rnacentral:rRNA from 1 species
AUACGUAGGUGGCAAGCGUUGUCCGGAAUUACUGGGCGUAAAGGGAGCGUAGGCGGCUAUUUAAGUGAGAUGUGAAAUACCCGGGCUCAACUUGGGAAUUGCAUUUCAUACUGGGUAGCUAGAGUGCAGGAGAGGAAAGUGGAAUUCCAAGUGUAGCGGUGAAAUGCGUAGAGAUUUGGAGGAACACCAGUGGCGAAGGCGACUUUCUGGACUGUAACUGACGCUGAGGCUCGAGAGCGUGGGGAGCAAACAGGAUUAGAUACCCUGGUAGUCCACGCUGUAAACGAUGAAUACUAGGUGUAGGGGGCGAAGCCCUCUGUGCCGCAGUUAACACAUUAAGUAUUCCGCCUGGGGAGUACGAUCGCAAGAUUAA